rnacentral:rRNA from 1 species
CCUACGGGUGGCAGCAGUAGGGAAUCUUCCACAAUGGGCGAAAGCCUGAUGGAGCAACGCCGCGUGGGUGAAGAAGGUCUUCGGAUCGUAAAACCCUGUUGUUAGAGAAGCAAGUGCGUGAGAGUAACUGCUCACGUUUCGACGGUAACUAACCAGAAAGCCACGGCUAACUACGUGCCAGCAGCUGCGGCAAUACGUAGGUGGCAAGCGUUAUCCGGUUUUAUUGGGCGUAAAGGGAGCGCAGGCGGUCUUUUAAGUCUGAUGUGAAAGCCUUCGGCUUAACCGGAGUAGUGCAUUGGAAACUGGGAGACGUGAGUGCAGAAGAGGAGAGUGGAACUCGAGGUGUAGCGGUGAAAUGCGUAGAUAUAUGGAAGAACACCAGUGGCGAAGGCGGCUCGCUGGUCUGUAACUGACGCUGAGGUUCGAAAGCGUGGGUAGCAAACAGGAUUAGAUACCCGAGUAGUC